CAGUCAGAUUGCCUUUAAAGAGAACAUGCUCAGUCUUGAGCAUGCUCAGUAUUGCUCAUGGCUGGGAAGGCCUCUGACCCUUGACCCCAGCUUCUCCCAGGUUAGGCGGGAAAACAAGUUUCUUUGUUCUCACUUGGUUAAGAGAAACCACACCUAUGCCUUGUCAUUGACCAAUGAGGGUCAUCCCUAUGUACUACGUAGCAAAUGGUAUUUAUGGCCCAGCAAGCUCCGCCUCGUCCCGCUCUCUCCCCUCUCUUCUCUUUCAGGCUAGCUGAUGGCUGUCCUUGCAGGAGCUUGGCCUCUGGCCAAGCUCCAUCUUUAAUCUUUCUCUAUUCAUCUCUCUGACCUGUAUUGUACUGGUAAAAGCCUUUGGAAUAGUCCUUUGAUCAGAGUUUGGCUGUGGCUCAUUGAUAAUUAAUAAAGACUCAUUCUGACCACCUCAUAUCUCUAAUUUGACUCUAAACUUCUAUCCUGUCUCCAUCUUCCUACCUUGUGGCUUCUCUCCCCUCUGAGAGAGACUACAAAUGGUGCCCAACGUGAACAGGGACCCUGCACCUGGCACUUUCUCGUGGCAUUCAACCCUUUUAUUUCACACAGCCGAGGGAAAACAGUAGGCGGGUGCCGGAGUUCGGGGAAUUCUGCUGAUCCUCUGGCCAAGAACGGUAAGUCUUCCUCUGCUCGAGGUGGGUCACUCCUCUGAACCCUGCUCGACUCUUAAUGUCGUUGUUGACGGGGGAGGAAGGGAAGUAUUGGAAAAUAUAUCAGGAUGAUUAAAGCACACGGUCCCUCAGAGCAUGAUUCUUAAACUAUCUCUGUGGGGGGGAGUGCUGUUUCCCUCCCCCACCUGGGCCUGCUAGCACAAUCCCCGGACCUGGAUCUCCGGAGGUUAAGAAACACCUGAGGAGCGGUCUGAGGGGGAGGGGAAGGAAAAAGAAAAUUUGACCUAGCAAAACCCUCACUAGGGCCCAUUGAGAACUUGAGAAAUCUCAGUCUGAAACAAACAGUUGCUAGAGCAUAGUGGAUUUCGAAAGGAGCAACUGGGAAAAGAAAAAGCAGGAGUUAAGAUUUCAUCAGGAAAGUCCAAAGUCAAAUUUUUGGCCUCCUAAAACAAAAGCUCAGAGAGCCAGGCUGCUAUUCACCCAGUGGGAAAGGCUAGAAGACCAGAAGCAAGGAGCAAGCUAAUCUUCACAGGCACAUUCCUGGGAUGCUUUUAAAAAGCUUAUCAAGAAGUAAUUGCUUUGACUCAAGCAGGGCACUUAAAGGGUCAGAAUUACUUGGAAAAAGGGAUCUAAUAAAACCACAGGUCUCAGCAAAAUUAAUGAAUCAAGGUAAUAGUCCUGAAUUAGGUUAAAUUCAGAACAGCCUAAGUUGUAAAAAGAUAUUGCCAUCCUGUAACCAAAGGCAGAAGAUUUUUUUUAAAAAAAAAAGGAAAGCCUCUACACUCAUUUAGCAUUUGAAAAAGGUCCUAGGAACUCUUUUGUUUGAGGUCCCGCCAGGUAAAGGCAGGCUUUACCUGGGUGAUUGCAAAUGAUAAAAAGCACAGAGAAGUGAGAUCUGGGAAUUUGAAUCGUUUUAAUUUAGGUUGGAUAUAGGCAAAAUUAUAAAGGAAUGUCUGCUUAUAUUUUUUGAUAAAGGAAGUUAAAAAAGAGAAUUAAAAUAUCUUUCUCUGACUUUUGUUAUAUGCCACAGAAUAUCAGGACUAGAAAUGUUUUAUCUGUAGAGAAAUUUUGGUAUAAAUCACAAGGUAAUUAAAGUGCAAACAGAAAACUUUUAAGGUUUGGGUUUAAAUCUGAAGCAGCUUGAAUUUUUUUCUCUACUGGCCACAUGGCUUGAGCCACGUGGAAGAUAGCAUCAGAGCAACUGAGGUUCCAAGUUUUUUUAUUACAAACGCUGUAUUUGGCUAGAAGAAAAAUUUAAUCCUAAGAUAUAAUAAGCAUGAAUUGGACUAUGAUUUAAAGGAAUUUAUGACUUUCUAAUUUUAACCAUGGAGGAAUUAUUAACACUUUUCUAAGCAGGACAUAAAGCAACAGGAUGAAUCUUGAGCAGAGCUUAUUCAAACAGCCUGUAUGCAGUUCAGAAACUUUUUACUGGGCAUAUUACUAUACCUGUAUCCAGAAAGCAAAUGAUUUAUAACUAGAAUAGCUUUUAAUAUGGAAAAUUAAGACACAUGCUCAGCAGGGUAAAAGCAUGGUUAGGAGGAUUCAAUCUGUUUACCAGUGGUUAAUUAUUAAAGUUAUCAAGGAAUCUGUUACUCAGUACAGUGAUUUAUUAAGGAUUUGAAAGAGGCACUACUAUCAUGUAUUCAAAUUGCAGAUAUUGAAGCUGAUCAUGAUAUUGAAAAGAGACCUAUGAUAAUAAGGCAAAUUCAAAGGUUACUGGCAUAAUUUGAUUUAUUUCUGCAGUGAAGAUUUGCAGAAUUAGCAGAUGAAAGUAAUGAUUUUAGUGACAGUAUUAAGAUCUUUUCAGUUAUGAAGUUAAUUGCAGUAGUUCACAAAUAACAACUUCUGUGCAACUGUUUGAUAAUUCUGUGCAUACUGUACAGCAUAAGACAAUGCUAUAAUUUUAAUAACUGCACAAUGUGAAUUUUUUCAAAAAGAAAAAAUUGGGUGCAGGCAAACAAGGGAUUAAGAUCCCAGCACACAUGGGUCAAAUCAUAAGUGAUUUAUAGUAUGAUAUUUUUAUGAUUAUGGGUUUGAAAAAGCAAAUAUUUAAGCAUCUAUACAUGCUGCUUUGCAAAGUCUAUUGUACAUCUAUAUCCUGAACAAGCAGGUGAUAUUGCUUAUCAAUGCAAACUGUUGUGGAUUAAUUUCACCCCUGAGGGAUAUCCAUGUAUAUUUUGGAGCAAAGAUGCAUUUCAGCAUGCUCCUGGCACAAAGGUUGAACUGUGAAAAGUGAUGGGAGAUACUUACUCUCCUGGUUUAGGGUUCAAGCUCAAAUGAAGAAGUAAGCAAAGUGAUUACAGAUUCCAUAAAUAUCUGUGCACAACUGUCUAUUCCAAACAGCUUGGAAUAGCAGGGCUUUUAACAGCAAUGCAAGGGCUGAAAUGCAUAGCUCAUGGCUUACAUGCAAGCUAUGGUGAAAAGAGCUCAAGGGAAUUCAUGAGCCCCAAGGUUCAAAAAACUGAAAGUAUAUAUGUUCUGUCACUUUCUAACUCUCUAAGACCCAAUGAGGCUUUCAUUUGGGGUCGAGGUCUUGUUUAUAUGUUCACAGAUAAUGAAAACAUCUGGUCACCCACGUCAUGCUUCAUGCCAGCUGAUACAGACCAGGAAGAGAAGCAGACGGAAGGUGAUGGCAUCAGCUAUCUACAUGCCAGCCACAAUCCAGGCAUGCUGGAGGGACACUUCUUUGGUGACUAAUAUCACUCCAGAACAAUGACAUUACACUAUUAGAGACAUUGGCUAUUAGGCCACUGACGGACACUUGUCAUGCUGACAUCCAUUGAGAUGGGGUACCCAGAGCAACAUCAAGUAUGCUAACUCAGAAGGACUAAAUCACACUUGUGUCUGUACAAGACACCAAAUAUGUCCCACACUCCAAAGACUUUGCUAUGGGAUUGAGAUGAAUUAGCUACAAAUUGUCUAGCUGCUAAUGUAUACCCUGUAUUUUGUAUAUGAUACUGUCAAAAGAAAUGUAUAUUGUAUGCAUUGUAAAGCUACCACUUGUAUUGUAAGAAAUGCUGUUAUCAACAAGGGUAUAGACCUUGGUAUGAUUCUCCAAAGAAGUAGGAGAUAGAAAACUUUCAUUCAUAGCAUAGAUCUGAUACCUCUGACAACAAAAAUGAGGUGCUAAGCAGGAAAUGAUGCACAGACAAGGUUAAUGGACAGAUGACACUGAUGUUACUCUCGAGAAAGGAUGAGAGAUCAGGGAAAAGACACUAGGAAAUCUUUAAUCAGGAACCUGAGUUAUUGUAAGAAAUCAUUGACAUCCAGGCAAAGAUUAUGUUCCUGACAAUACCAGGAUGGACAUUAAGGGCUGACUACCAGAGAUGUAGUUAAGUGUUAAUACCAUUGUUAAUCAUUACUCCUGAUACCCUGUCUUUGUGGGUAAUAUUUUAAUAGGAAAAAUGUCUUGCUCUCCUCCAACAAUCCCAGAAUUCAGAUGGCCACUGGAUUCGGGAUCUAUUGGCUUCCCUUUCAUAUACUGGAAGACGUUCUGGUAUAUGGAAGUAAGACCUCAGGAAAACACUGAGGACUCUAGGUGUGACAAUUUCUGUGGACGCGCAGUCAUUGUCUCUCCUAGGUGGAAAAAAUUAUUAUUGCACAAAAACAUGGAGCAAGGGCAAAGUAUAAUCUAAGUUUUACUGUUUUGGAGUAUGGAUUAAAAACAUGACACAAUAGACACAGAUAAGCGUGUAGAAAAAGCACAUUGAAUAUUAUUCACUGACAAUUAGGAAUGAAAAAGCUAUGUCAAAUUCCAUAGGUACAAGAAACUGUAGAAAUUGUUUUUACAUGGAAAACAACUUAAGCUUCUAUUUACCCAAACAUUGGUUUGGUGGAAAGAAUUUUGCAAAUAGUGGUAAUGGUAUAGGUUUGGUUAUCAUAUUGAUGGGUUUAUUUAUACAAGCAGAGAUUUAAAUAAGGAAGACAUAAGGGAUAUGCAGUCAAAACUUGAAAUAUUACUUCAUUAUCACCAUCAUGGUUAUUUAAGUUACAAUUGAGAAUGUAAAGUGUAUGGGAAUAUUGGUAUUUGUUAAAAAUUGCACUGUGAUUAUUGUAUUAAUGCUUUUUGCAAAGCCUGUAAUGGUGCAAAAUUAUGUUCAUAUACAAGGCGAAUUUUGAUCUAUUUAGAUCAGGAAUUAGGAAUCAUUGGGAAUAUAAGUUCUGAUAUUUUACAUUGGCUCAGUUUCAAAGAUACCACAUAGACAGUGAGCCAAAAGUCUAGAAUCUUGUAUUAAUUUUGGGAUCAGGUUCCCAGGAUCAAUUUUCUAAGAUCAUUUGACAUGUGAUAACAUGAUCCUCCAGAAUUGUUCAGAGAGGAUGUUUUUCUUUGAAAGGAUCUCUCCCUACCCACAAACAAAAAGAAAAGGGAGAGGAAUCUCAUAGAGAUCAGUAUGUUCAUUUUAGAGAACACUUUUGAUUCAUUUUCAAGUAUUCAACUUUGAUUUUUCUGUUGCACAAUUAUUGCCAGAAUUUUUAAGUACAAGGAAAGUACUGUUAAUGCUCUGAUCCAGAAUUAUGAAGGUGCAAAGAUUUCUAUAAUUGCAGUCACCCAACAGUCGCUGAACAUGAGAACAUGACAGCAAUUGUUAAUUUUCAGAUGACCAUUCUGGAGAAUGAUGUCUGAUUGCAUGUAAGGGGAAUCAUAAUGAAUCUUUCAUUAUGGACCAGACAGCCUCAGCCACGAUUAUACACUUUCCAUAUGAAAUGGAUGUUUGAGGUUGGGAGAUGCAGAGACGUGGCGUACUGACACCCUCAGUCGCUGAAUGUCCUGGUAUCAAGCUACCAACCAGUUUCCUAUGUGGCAGGCAUCUGGCAGUGAGCAUGGAAAGAUCCCCAAGAUGCAGUAUCAGUACGAGAGAAAGGAAGGACUUAUCCUUCAUCUCCAGAGAUAGUAUUUUGCUAACUGUUGAAAAGACAGACAACUUCUGCAUAUAGUGUCCAUCUCUUCUUUUGUUACUCUUCAUUUUUCGUUACCCCAAACAGGAUGUCACAGGACUGGCCGACCCUGUGAUUGAGUCUUGUACUGCCCGGACAGGGACUUUCAUUCGUAACCCCGAUUCCUUUGCUGGUCUUAGGAUGACGAAGAGUUAACAGCUUUUGCCCCGAGACUGCAGCUCGGAUGGGCAGAAGAAUCGAACAGAGAGAGAGCAGUAUUUGUGGGCCUCCUCUGUUCCCCAACUUGUUCUCUCUUUCGCUUUUUAGUUUAAACUGUCCCCUAUUAGGGACCUCUUCCCCCCAUUCUUUUCUUUUCUUGGAACCCUUCCUUCGGUUCUCUUUGGAGAACCCCCGACGCUGUGUGCUGGUCAUGCAGUUUCAAUGCUACGGAGAUCCCCUCGGUGGUGAGCAUACGAGAUACUCUAAGGGUGAGAGGGAAAUUAUAUUUUUUCUUUAGAAUGGAUCCUAAAACACUGAUUUUUUUUCUCAAAGCAUGCUUGUCACAAUGUUGUGUGUUUCUGUUUUUUGUUGUCUUUGUCAAAGUCUCAUCUCUAUGUAUUCUUAAAUUGGACACACAAAAAGAAUGUAAAAUGGAAUAGUUGCAAGAUUGAACUUGUCUGUCAAAAAUCCUCAGCAGAGGACAAAAGCAAAUACCUGUUCAAUGAUUUUUUCCUCUUUCUUCCUUUGGAUGGGCCCCCAAAGGAGCGAAAAAGAGAAAAAUUCAGAGCAGAAAAAGGGAGAUUUUUACUCCACAAUUAGAGGCUAUUUUCCACUUAAGAUUAAUCCUAUGGUUUGAUGUAUGCAAUUUGGGAGUAUUGUUAAUGAUUUUGAUAUGAUCUAAAUUUAAUUUCGUGCAACUAUUUGUCAGUUAAAUGUGAAAUAUUAAUCAGAUUUUAUUGAGCACAACAAAACUGGUUAGAAGUUUGUUUUAUUAAAUAUUGCUAUGCAUAAUGGUUUCAGUGAAUUUGAGAAUUGUCUAAAUGUGGCUGAUAGCCAGACUGACACAGAGAGGAUGUUUUUCUUUGAAAGGAUCUCUCCCUACCCACAAACAAAAAGAAAAGGGAGAGGAAUCUCAUAGAGAUCAGUAUGUUCAUUUUAGAGAACACUUUUGAUUCAUUUUCAAGUAUUCAACUUUGAUUUUUCUGUUGCACAAUUAUUGCCAGAAUUUUUAAGUACAAGGAAAGUACUGUUAAUGCUCUGAUCCAGAAUUAUGAAGGUGCAAAGAUUUCUAUAAUUGCAGUCACCCAACAGUCGCUGAACAUGAGAACAUGACAGCAAUUGUUAAUUUUCAGAUGACCAUUCUGGAGAAUGAUGUCUGAUUGCAUGUAAGGGGAAUCAUAAUGAAUCUUUCAUUAUGGACCAGACAGCCUCAGCCACGAUUAUACACUUUCCAUAUGAAAUGGAUGUUUGAGGUUGGGAGAUGCAGAGACGUGGCGUACUGACACCCUCAGUCGCUGAAUGUCCUGGUAUCAAGCUACCAACCAGUUUCCUAUGUGGCAGGCAUCUGGCAGUGAGCAUGGAAAGAUCCCCAAGAUGCAGUAUCAGUACGAGAGAAAGGAAGGACUUAUCCUUCAUCUCCAGAGAUAGUAUUUUGCUAACUGUUGAAAAGACAGACAACUUCUGCAUAUAGUGUCCAUCUCUUCUUUUGUUACUCUUCAUUUUUCGUUACCCCAAACAGGAUGUCACAGGACUGGCCGACCCUGUGAUUGAGUCUUGUACUGCCCGGACAGGGACUUUCAUUCGUAACCCCGAUUCCUUUGCUGGUCUUAGGAUGACGAAGAGUUAACAGCUUUUGCCCCGAGACUGCAGCUCGGAUGGGCAGAAGAAUCGAACAGAGAGAGUGCAGUGUUUGUGGGCCUCCUCUGUUCCCCAACUUUAUUAUUGCACCUGUCAUGUGAGCCAUAGAAUUCUACCUCAUUAGACCAGGAUCAGUAGCGUGGAAAUUAUUUUCUUAACAUUUUUAUAUCUACUAAGACUGUUGCAUAGAUCCUGAAAUGCAGACAGAUAGAAAGAUCAGUUUGGAAUUUUUUAAGAUUGAUCACUGAAUCAGUUUAUGCUGAUGUUCACUCUUGAUUGGUAUAUCUAAGUUAUACAAUCAGGGUGGGUUUUUCAUCUCUGUAUCAGAAUAUGAUUAUGCACCAGAGUGUUUGUAUUUGUUAAGGCUGUAAUGUUGUUACAUUUUGAUAUUACACUAUUCAUUUGUGUGUAAAACAAAAAGGGGGAAUUGUAGCAGUCAGAUUGCCUUUAAAGAGAACAUGCUCAGUCUUGAGCAUGCUCAGUAUUGCUCAUGGCUGGGAAGGCCUCUGACCCUUGACCCCAGCUUCUCCCAGGUUAGGCGGGAAAACAAGUUUCUUUGUUCUCACUUGGUUAAGAGAAACCACACCUAUGCCUUGUCAUUGACCAAUGAGGGUCAUCCCUAUGUACUACGUAGCAAAUGGUAUUUAUGGCCCAGCAAGCUCCGCCUCGUCCCGCUCUCUCCCCUCUCUUCUCUUUCAGGCUAGCUGAUGGCUGUCCUUGCAGGAGCUUGGCCUCUGGCCAAGCUCCAUCUUUAAUCUUUCUCUAUUCAUCUCUCUGACCUGUAUUGUACUGGUAAAAGCCUUUGGAAUAGUCCUUUGAUCAGAGUUUGGCUGUGGCUCAUUGAUAAUUAAUAAAGACUCAUUCUGACCACCUCA